AUACGGAGGGCGCAAGCGUUGUUCGGAAUUACUGGGCGUAAAGCGCGUGUAGGCGGCUUGGCAAGUCGGUUGUGAAAUCCCGGGGCUCAACCCCGGAACUGCAUCCGAAACUGUCUCGCUAGAGUCCCGGAGAGGAAGGCAGAAUUCCCAGUGUAGGGGUGAAAUCCGUAGAUAUUGGGAGGAAUACCAGUGGCGAAGGCGGCCUUCUGGACGGUGACUGACGCUGAGGCGCGAAAGCGUGGGGAGCAAACAGGAUUAGAAACCCCAGUAGUCC
rnacentral:rRNA from 1 species